rnacentral:rRNA from 1 species
AACAAGGUCUCCGUUGGUGAACCAACGGAGGGAUCAUUAUCGAGUUAUUCAACUCCCAAACCCUAUGUGAACUUACCACUUGUUGCUUCGGCGCGCGCUUCGGCGCCGCCGAGGACACUUAAACUCUUUGUUUUUAUAAGCAUUUCUGAGUGGCCGAAAGGCAAAAAUACAAAUGAAUCAAAACUUUCAACAACGGAUCUCUUGGUUCUGGCAUCGAUGAAGAACGCAGCGAAAUGCGAUAAGUAAUGUGAAUUGCAGAAUUCAGUGAAUCAUCGAAUCUUUGAACGCACAUUGCGCCCGCCAGCAUUCUGGCGGGCGUGCCUGUUCGAGCGUCAUUUCAACCCUCGAGCCCGACUCUUUUGAGGACGGCUCGGCGUUGGGGGACGGCAGACUCCCCCCGGCAUCUCGCCGGGGACGCCGCCCCCGAAAUCUAGUGGCGGCCCUCCGAGGCGACCUCUGCGUAGUAACUUGUUCUCGCACCGGAAAGCUCAGAGCGGCCACGCCGUAAAACCCCAACUUUUUUCAGGUUGACCUCGAAUCAGGUAGGACUACCCGCUGAACUUAAGCAUAUCAAUA